AUUGCAGGUUAAACACCAACUACUACUGUUCAGCCUUGCUCUGUUUCAAGCAAGAACCCAAAGCUAAGCAAUCCUCGGAGCUUUAAGAGCAGCGACCGUUUCGGAAAGAGAGAGUGUUUGUGUGGGUCAAGGAAGAAAGAACCAACCUUUGCGGAGAGAGAGAGCGAGAGAGAAAGAGGGUCUUGUAUGGAAAGGGUGUCGAUCUCGGU